GUAAUCAUUUCUGAUUGUUACCAAUUUGGGUAAUGGUUUCUGAUUCUGGAAAUUAUCAUAACAGAUAUUGUAUACUUUUACUACAACGAAAGCUGGACGUUUUUGCUAUUUUAAUGAAGAAACAGUAUAGCUGCUUUAUUCGGUCAACAUUCUGAUGUAAAUUAGCCUCCUAUUCAAACGUUGAGAGACAUUCUGAAAAAUAGAAAUCGUUGAAAAGUCAAUAAUUUAUCAAUUUUAUCAAUUUAAUGCACGGCACUCAUGAAAAACAGGUAGUUUUGUAAAUAUGUAUAGUAUAAUUUAUCAUAUAUCUAAUUUCCUUUGUUACUUUAUCAUAAGUGUGUAAAAUCCUGAUGAGUCCACCGUGACUAAAUAAAGUUCACAAC